rnacentral:rRNA from 1 species
GAUGAACGCUGGCGGCGUGCCUAAUACAUGCAAGUCGAGCGAACGGACGAGAAGCUUGCUUCUCUGAUGUUAGCAGCGGACGGGUGAGUAACACGUGGAUAUCCUACCUAUAAGACUGGGAUAACUUCGGGAAACCGGAGCUAAUACCGGAUGAUAUUUUGAACCGCAUGGUUCAAAAGUGAAAGACGGUCUUGCUGUCACUUAUAGAUGGAUCCGCGCUGCAUUAGCUAGUUGGUAAGGUAACGGCUUACCAAGGCAACGAUGCAUAGCCGACCUGAGAGUGUGAUCGGCCACACUGGAACUGAGACACGGUCCAGACUCCUACGGGAGGCAGCAGUAGGGAAUCUUCCGCAAUGGGCGAAAGCCUGACGGAGCAACGCCGCGUGAGUGAUGAAGGUCUUCGGAUCGUAAAACUCUGUUAUUAGGGAAGAACAUAUGUGUAAGUAACUGUGCACAUCUUGACGGUACCUAAUCAGAAAGCCACGGCUAACUACGUG